UACGGGGGGGGCAAGCGUUGUUCGGAAUUACUGGGCGUAAAGGGCUCGUAGGCGGCCAACUAAGUCAUACGUGAAAUCCCUCGGCUUAACCGGGGAACUGCGUCUGAUACUGGAUGGCUUGAGUUCGGGAGAGGGAUGCGGAAUUCUUGGUGUAGCGGUGAAAUGCGUAGAUAUCAAGAGGAACACCUGAGGUGAAGACGGGUUGCUGGGCUGACACUGACGCUGAGGCGCGAAAGCCAGGGGAGCAAACGGG
rnacentral:rRNA from 1 species